AGAGCUGGCCUGAGGGUUGGGGCCAGGGGUUGGAUGCUGGAGGUUCAGAACAGGGCCAGAUAGAAGAUCCUGAGCUUGGAGCAGAACCACCGGUUCUCUCCCACAAACUGCUGUUUUUUAAUUUUUCUUUCUUUCUUUCUUUCUUUCUUUUUUUUUUUUUUGAGACAGAGCCCUGCUCUAUUGCCCAGGCUGGAGUGCAGUGGCGCUUGCCUCACUGCAACCCGGGUUCAAGUGAUUU
rnacentral:lncRNA from 10 species